rnacentral:rRNA from 1 species
UACAGAGGUCUCAAGCGUUGUUCGGAUUCAUUGGGCGUAAAGGGUGCGUAGGUGGCGGGGUAAGUCAGGUGUGAAAUCUCGGGGCUCAACCCCGAAACUGCACUUGAUACUGCCUUGCUCGAGUACUGGAGAGGAGAUUGGAAUUUACGGUGUAGCAGUGAAAUGCGUAGAUAUUACCAGGAACACCAAUGGCGAAGGCAGCUUGCUGGGCUACUCCUGACACUGAGGUACGAAAGCGUGGGGAGCGAACAGG